CGGACGGGUGAGUAACACGUGGAUAACCUACCUAUAAGACUUGGAUAACUUCGGGAAACCGGAGCUAAUACCGGAUAAUAUUUUGAACCGCAUGGUUCAAAAGUGAAAGACGGUCUUGCUGUCACUUAUAGAUGGAUCCGCGCUGCAUUAGCUAGUUGGUAAGGUAACGGCUUACCAAGGCAACGAUGCAUAGCCGACCUGAGAGGGUGAUCGGCCACACUGGAACUGAGACACGGUCCAG
rnacentral:rRNA from 1 species